rnacentral:rRNA from 1 species
GAUGAACGCUAGCUACAGGCUUAACACAUGCAAGUCGAGGGGAAACGGCAUUAAGUGCUUGCACUUUUUGGACGUCGACCGGCGCACGGGUGAGUAACGCGUAUCCAACCUUCCCAUGACUAAGGGAUAACCUGCCGAAAGGCAGACUAAUACCUUAUGGUCUUCACUGACGGCAUCAGAUGUGAAGUAAAGAUUUAUCGGUUAUGGAUGGGGAUGCGUCUGAUUAGCUUGUUGGCGGGGUAACGGCCCACCAAGGCAACGAUCAGUAGGGGUUCUGAGAGGAAGGUCCCCCACAUUGGAACUGAGACACGGUCCAAACUCCUACGGGAGGCAGCAGUGAGGAAUAUUGGUCAAUGGGCGAGAGCCUGAACCAGCCAAGUAGCGUGCAGGAUGACGGCCCUAUGGGUUGUAAACUGCUUUUGUAUGGGGAUAAAGUCAAUCACGUGUGAUUGUUUGCAGGUACCAUACGAAUAAGGACCGGCUAAGUCCGUG